rnacentral:tRNA from 1 species
GGCUAAAUCGUAUAAUUGGCUAUUACAAAGAACUGCAAAUUCUUUAAUGAUGGUUCAAAUCCAUCUUUAGCCU